CUACGGAGGGUGCGAGCGUUAAUCGGAAUUACUGGGCGUAAAGCGCGCGUAGGCGGCUUAUUAAGUCAGAUGUGAAAUCCCCGGGCUCAACCUGGGAACUGCAUCUGAUACUGGUAAGCUAGAGUUUUGGAGAGGGAAGUAGAAUUUCAGGUGUAGCGGUGAAAUGCAUAGAGAUCUGAAGGAAUACCAGUGGCGAAGGCGACUUCCUGGCCAAAAACUGACGCUGAGGUGCGAAAGCGUGGGUAGCAAACGGGAUUAGAAACCCUUGUAGUCC
rnacentral:rRNA from 1 species